rnacentral:rRNA from 1 species
GACAGAGGGUGCAAACGUUGUUCGGAAUUACUGGGCGUAAAGCGUCCGUAGGUGGCUUUUCAAGUCUGCCGUCAAAGACCGGGGCUUAACCCCAGAAAGGCGGUGGAAACUGAAUAGCUAGAGUGCGGUAGGGGUAGAGGGAAUUCCCGGUGUAGCGGUGAAAUGCGUAGAGAUCGGGAAGAACACCGGUGGCGAAAGCGCUCUACUGGACCGUAACUGACACUCAGGGACGAAAGCUAGGGGAGCGAAUGGG